AUGGCCUGCUACCCGUGCAACCCAUACCCUCACCUCCCCGCAGGCACUACGAUCAUUGCUUCAGGCCCUGAACGAGCGCAGCGAGGCUACGUCGUCCUCGGCGGUGAGCUCCCUAUGGUCUGUGAUGAGUGGGCGAUAGCUACUCUGGUUCCGGCUGUUCCACCUGAAGAUUUCCCUGCCGCCAAUGCAAUGAUCAUUGAAUAUCUCGAAGCCAAGGGAUGGAGGAUCAACUACUCUUCCAGAUGCGGUAUGGGUACUGCUCUGAUCCAAUUUACUACUGCCUGUUCGAGAGAUUCUGCCAUUAAUAAUAGUCCAUAUGAGAUUGGGGACUCUGUUCUUCGCAUUACCAGGCAUGAUAGGAGUUUUAACUACCGUAGCAUCACUUUUACCCAUGAUGUUUGGCUCAUGUUAAUGAACUAUCCACUGGAAUGCUGGGAAGUUGGAGUUGUGAGCCGCACUGUUUCUCAAUAUGGCAGAUUUCUGAUUUGGAACAAGGAUCCGGGAGACAAAACUAGGAUUAUUGUUAAGGUCAGAGUCAUGAAUGUGGAUACUUUGCCCGUCAGUAUUGUAGUUCUGCGCAAUCUGGACGAUGUUGGGUAUGGUGAUUCUUGGACUUGUCCCACCUAUAUUCUUUCUCGUGAGCUCAUUGGUCAGCUUGGUGGUGAUGAAGAUCCCCUCCCUCCAGAUGGAGGAAACCCACACCCUCUCCCGCAUGUUCAGGAGGGUUUUUGGCACGAUGAAGUACUUGGGAACAUCCCCAUGGAACAGGUUGUUAUCAACCCGCACAAUGAGCAUCUUGGAGCUCCUUAUGAGGAUGUUUAUGCACCUGCUGCUGCUGGCAAUGCCAACAAUAAUUUGAAUGAAGUGUUACCCACUGUUGUCAUGCCAUCUCCCAUGCAGGAGGACUCUACUGCACAGGCGCUCAAUGAGGUGGUGCAAGAGGAUCAGAUGGAUUUCAUCCCUGUGCCUGCUGAUGGAUCUCAGGAUAUCCAAGCUAGUAGUCCAGUCUUUGUGCCAGCUAAUGCAUCUAUGGAAUAUGAGGAUGCACAUAAUACUGGAAAUAUGGAGCAAAACAAUUAUGUGUCUGAUGACAUAUCUGCUCUUCAGGGCCUCAUUGGUAAUAUUGUGUCGAAUGCCCAUGACAUCCUGCCCAAGCUGGGUGGCUCUAAAAUAGUUAAUGCUAAGUGCAACAUUGUGGAUGUUGAAGGCACUUAG
rnacentral:rRNA from 1 species